rfam:Candidatus Ryanbacteria bacterium RIFCSPHIGHO2_01_FTLL_45_22 rifcsphigho2_01_scaffold_496, whole genome shotgun sequence.
CAUAUGCGCCGGGUAGUUGCCCCACCAACAUCUACAAUGUUGUGGCGGGGAGGAAAGUCCGGGCACCCGCCCCGCUAACAUCUGCAAGGUUGCAGUGGGGCAGAAGAAGAUAGUGGUUAACGACCACCCUCCGAUACGUCGGAGCGAGACAGUACCACAGAAACAAUACAACCAAUCGUCAUCAGCUCUGAGUAUAAAGCUCGGAACGAUGAAGGAGGUACUGGUGAAAAGAGUGAGGUAAAAGCUCACAGGCGCUAUUGGCGACAAUAGCGCGUGGGAAACACUUAUCUGGUGCAAGCCUUUCAUAGGCGCUAGAUCGUAACAGCAAUGCUACGGCAAGAUAGAUGACUACCGCCAAUUUUGUUCCGCCGUGGCAGAAUAUAAGAUUGAGCGUCCCCAUGGCGUAGCCUCAAGGGACAACCUUUCGACUUCGCUUCACGUAGGCAAAAUUGGUACAGAACCCGGCUUACAGGCGCGUAUAAAAA